rnacentral:rRNA from 1 species
UACGGGGGGGCAAGCGUUGUUCGGAAUUACUGGGCGUAAAGGGCUCGUAGGCGGCCAACUAAGUCAGACGUGAAAUCCCUCGGCUUAACCGGGGAACUGCGUCUGAUACUGGAUGGCUUGAGGUUGGGAGAGGGAUGCGGAAUUCCCGGUGUAGCGGUGAAAUGCGCAGAUAUCGGGAGGAACACCGGUGGCGAAGGCGGUUCUCUGGGCCUUACCUGGACGCUGAGGAGCGAAAGCGUGGGGAGCGAACAGG